rnacentral:lncRNA from 15 species
AUGGUUGUGAGAUUAGCUUGCAUGUGUUUAAAUUUAAUACAGACAAAGAAAUCAACUCUGACAGGGAGUUUUCUGAAUGUUUGUGAGCCUGUAGCUUUAAUACGGGAAGCGCAAACACCUUGUGUAAUUACUAUCCAGUCAAUGAAGCAACAUGCAUUAGCCUUCAAUCGACCAAAGGUCACUUAAGAUCUUCGACUACAGAUAUAUGUUCCAUAAGACGCUUAAAAUAAAUUCAAACAAAACAACAAAUAAAUGGCUGGAUUCCUGGCUUUCACUCACUCACUGGAUUUUGAUCACAUUGUUUGAAUGUUGAAUCAAAGUUUCACAGGCUCAAACAUGAUACCAAUGUAUGGUAAGGUCUGAAGUCAAGCUAAAUUCUGUACCUUGUUCAAGUGGCCAAAUCACACAACCGAUAACAAGACACACCAGUAAUGUAAAUUAUGUUUAGUCAUGCAAAAUAAGGUAACGCCUGUUUCACAUGGUGCAUUUCUCCAUUACAGCUCCCACAAAGCCAAGAAAUGCUGCCGCACAGGCAGACGUUAUAAAUUAACAACUGGAGGGUAUUUAGACAUUGUACUGUAGAGUUUGUUACCAUUUGUUCCUGCUGAAUAUUUGACAGCUUGUCACUGAUGCCGUUUCAUCAGUCCUCUGAGUUAAGGCCUAAGCUGUGAGAUCAGCUGUGGGAUGAUCUGUUGAUGUUCAUCACAGAGUCAUUUUGUUCACAUAAAAAGAUGUCUCCGAACACUGGAGAAAACCACAGGACCAAACUUUCAUGCCUCAACAAAUUGGCUGUCAGUGGCACUAUAAUUUAUUCACCAACAUCUGUCAGUAUUCUGAGCCACACUGCAGCGCAACUGCAAAUGUAACUAUAAAAAUUUCAAAAGUAAAAUUUUGAGUCUCAAGGCCAGAGGAAGGUCAGGCAAACACUGCUUUGAGCAUGUUCAAUUUGUGCAUGUAUCACAUGAUCAGCAAAGAAGUGAUAGUUUUAGCCCACCGGCAAGGCUGAA